GAUAAGAUUUCCCACCGUAAGGGUAAGAUCCCAGGAAGACUACCUGGUUGAUAGGUCGGAGGUGUAAGUGCAGCAAUGUAUGUAGCUUACCGAUACUAAUAGAUCGAGGACUUGACCAA
rnacentral:rRNA from 2 species